GUUCCACAGGGAUGCUGGCUCAUGUUGACUCUACAAGGUGUUGAAAGCGUUCCACAGGGAUGCUGGUCCAUGUUGACUCUACAAGGUGUCGAAAGCGUUCCACAGGGAUGCUGGCCCCAUGUUGACUCUACAAGGUGUCGAAAGCGUUCCACAGGGAUGCUGGCCCCAUGUUGACUCUACAAGGUGUCUAAAGCGUUCCACAGGGAUGCUGGCCCAUGUUGACUCUACAAGGUGUCUAAAGCGUUCCACAGGGAUGCUGGCCCAUGUUGACUCUACAAGGUGUUGAAAGCGUUCCACAGGGAUGCUGGCCCAUGUUGACUCUACAAGGUGUCUAAAGCGUUCCACAGGGAUGCUGGCCCAUGUUGACUCUACAAGGUGUCUAAAGCGUUCCACAGGGAUGCUGGUCCAUGUUGACUCUACAAGGUGUUGAAAGCGUUCCACAGGGAUGCUGGCCCAUGUUGACUCUACAAGGUGUUGAAAGCGUUCCACAGGGAUGCUGGUCCAUGUUGACUCUACAAGGUGUUGAAAGCGUUCCACAGGGAUGCUGGUCCAUG